GGAAAAAGACGAGUCUAUGUUAUCCAAAAAAAGAAAUGAAAUUCAAUGACUGAUAAAUAAGUUCCUCCCCCUUUACCCCCAUUUCUCCAUUUGUUAAUGUUUCCUAGACAAAAUAGAAAAAAAAAGUUUACUUCAUAGUACCUCUUGUAUUGGAAAAUAAAUGGUUAUUGUGAUGCCUAUUUAUUGAAUUUAUAUGUUGUGCUGUAUCUUGGUUUCC